rnacentral:rRNA from 1 species
AAACCAACAGGGAUUGCCUCAGUAACGGCGAGUGAAGCGGCAAAAGCUCAAAUUUGAAAUCUGGCACCUUCGGUGUCCGAGUUGUAAUUUGAAGAAGGUAACUUUGGAGUUGGCUCUUGUCUAUGUUCCUUGGAACAGGACGUCACAGAGGGUGAGAAUCCCGUGCGAUGAGAUGUCCAAUUCUAUGUAAAGUGCUUUCGAAGAGUCGAGUUGUUUGGGAAUGCAGCUCUAAGUGGGUGGUAAAUUCCAUCUAAAGCUAAAUAUUGGCGAGAGACCGAUAGCGAACAAGUACAGUGAUGGAAAGAUGAAAAGAACUUUGAAAAGAGAGUGAAAAAGUACGUGAAAUUGUUGAAAGGGAAGGGCUUGAGAUCAGACUUGGUAUUUUGCAAGCUUUACCUUCGUGGUGGAGUCCCCUGCAGUUUACUGGGCCAGCAUCGGUUUGGAUGGUAGGAUAAUGACUUGGGAAUGUGGCUUUGCUUCGGUAAAGUGUUAUAGCCCUUGUUGAUACUACCUGUCUAGACCGAGGACUGCGUCUUUGACUAGGAUGUUGGCAUAAUGAUCUUAAG